AAUGAGGUGGUGAUGUCGUACUAACGUGCAUUUUUACCACAAAGGUGCAAUCAUGUCUCAUAGAGGUAUAUAUGGUUGCCAUUCUCUGCGAGGGACGUGUGCUGGUGUUCGCGAAGCAUUUCUAUUAGGCAGUAUUGUCGCCCAAUGAGUCACGUAUCAACGCUGUAACUCGCCAGUGCCGGCAAGUUGUUGCGAGAAACACACGAUAUAUUAUGACGCUGUAACGUUAUUUCAUUCAUUUGAAGGAAAGUUUUGCAGCAGGAAAAAAAGGCUGCUAUUCUAGGUAAACAUGUCUUUUUCUCACAAGUUAUUUAACCAAACUGUGGGUGUGUGAAAUUCGUGACAUAUUAAUGGAUUUCAUUAAUAAAUUUUGCGACUUAAUUAUGAAAUGCCGGCGUGUAUACAUUUUCAACAUUUGACAUAACCCUGUAUGUUUUGUAGGAACAACCCAGGACGUGUAUUUCACAGCACCCAGUCAACUGCCACAAGUGACUCAAACACAGGCCACCAGGGGCGCUCAGCUGUACCACUGCAGUGCUGCUGAAAUUGCCAGCACCAGCGGCUUUGUAGCAGCUGUUUCACAGCCUGUCGGAAACGUUGCCUAUGAAAUUAUUGGCCCUGAUGACGAGAGCCCUCAAGGGGCAAA